rnacentral:tRNA from 5 species
AGGCCCGUAGCUCAGUUGGUUAGAGCACACGCUUGAUAAGCGUGGGGUCGACAGUUCAAAUCUGUCCGGGCCUACCA